rnacentral:rRNA from 1 species
GUGGGGAAUAUUCCGCAAUGGACGAAAGUCUGACGGAGCAACGCCGCGUGAGUGAUGAAGGUUUUCGGACUGUAAAGCUCUGUUGUUUAGGACGAAAGUGCCUGUUGCGAACAGUUACAGGUAUUGACGGUUCUAAACGAGGAAGCCACGGCUAACUACGUGCCAGCAGCCGCGGUAAUACGUAGGUGGCAAGCGUUGUCCGGAAUUAUUGGGCGUAAAGAGCAUGUAGGCGGAGAUUUAAGUCUGUUGUGAAAAUGCGGGGCUCAACCCCGUAUUGCGAUGGAAACUGAAUUUCUUGAGUGCAGGAGAGGAAAGGGGAAUUCCCAGUGUAGCGGUGAAAUGCGUAGAUAUUGGGAGGAACACCAGUGGCGAAGGCGCCUUUCUGGACUGUGUCUGACGCUGAGAUGCGAAAGCCAGGGUAGCGAACGGGAUUAGAAACCCGGGUAGUCC